UUUGAGAACAGAAGCUGCCCUGGAGUUGAAGCUGGAAAGGUGGACCGGGACCAGGUCUGGGGGCUCCAGAAAGCCUCUUUCUAGAGUUUAGGCGCUAACGUGACGGUGUUGGGAGGCUGCUGGGCAGGGAAGCCUCCCGGUUGGAAAUGGGUUGUUUGGGAAAAUGUCCCCUGGCUGUUUCCGAGGAGGCCAAGCUGAAGGCAGCUAGACCAGUUCUGAGCUAUUGCUGCAAGGAACGAGCCAGGAACGGAGCCAGAGGAAGGGGCGGCUUCGCUGGGCGUUCUGGAGUAGAACCAGCAGGACUUACAGAGGGAUUAUAGGCUGGGGAGAACGAAAGGGAGGAGAAAUUGGAAACCACUCAAAACAUUUCUGAGGCCAUCGACCACCUGAGGCCAGCCAGGCCACAUUCUUACAUAUCCAGCUCCUAGCUUGGCAUUUCUCCCCGGAGAUCUCAUACACAUCUUGGAUUUAACAGGCUCAAAACAGAACUUUUGACCCAAAUUUGCCUCCUCCCAAACCUUUCCUAUACCAAUAAAUCACACACUGGUUGCUCAGGUCAAACGUUGGGAAAUAUCUUAAUUUU